rnacentral:rRNA from 1 species
AUUAAGAGUUUGAUCCUAGCUCAGGAUGAACGCUGGCGGUGUGGAUAAGGCAUGCAAGUCGUGCGCUCUGCAGAGAGCGGCGAAAUGGUUAGUAACACCCUGGCACUUACCUCAAAGACAGGAAUAACUCCGCGAAAGCGGAGCUAAUACCUGAUAGUCCCGGCAUAUAUUUUUGCAAAUAAAAUUUGUUUUCAAAAAUAUGUGCCGUGUAAAGGCGCAAGCCACUUUGAGAAAGGCCUAGGUCCUAUCAGCUUGUUGGUGAGGUAAUGGCUCACCAAGGCUAUGACGGGUAGGAGGCGUGAGAGCGCGACCUCCAACAAGGGCACUGCGACAUGGGCCCUACUCCUACGGGAGGCAGCAGUCGAUAAUCUUCGACAAUGGGCGAAAGCCUGAUCGAGCGACACCGCGUGCAGGAAGAAGGCCUUCGGGUUGUAAACUGCUUUUUUGAGGGAAAAAGCCCAGCCCCACUUUUACUAUGGGUGUUUUGUAAAUAAAUUAAUUUUGAGUUUUUAAAUCUCGAGUUAAAAAAAUAAAGCACAUUUGGUAAAAGUGGAGCUGGGCUGAUUGUACCUUACGAAUAAGGGGUUCCUAACUCUGUGCCAGCAGGAGCGGUAAUACAGAGACCCCAAGCGUUAUCCGGAGUCAUUGGGCGUAAAGCGUUUGUAGGCGGUUUAAUCAUACGAGAGCCGCGCAAGUGGAAGGAGUAUGAGUUUGUAAUUUUUUUCGAAAAGUUGUGAAUCAAGUCAAAUGUUAAAGAUCCGAGCUCAACUCGGAGAAGGCAUUUGAUACUGGUAAACUUUGAAGAUGCAAGAGGCUUCUAGAACCUAUGGUGUAGGGGUGAAAUCCGUUGAUAUCAUAGGGAAUACCAAAGGCGAAGGCAGGAAGCUGGUGCAUUCUUGACGCUGAGAAACGAAAGCGUGGGGAGCAAAAAGGAUUAGAUACCCUUGUAGUCCACGCCCUAAACUAUGAACACUCACUGUCGAGAGUAUCGACCCUCUCGGUGGUUUAGCUAACGCGUUAAGUGUUCCGCCUGGGAAGUACGGCCGCAAGGCUAAAACUCAAAGGAAUAGACGGGAGCUCGCACAAGCGGUGGAGCAUGUGGUUUAAUUCGACAGCAAGCGAGGAACCUUACCAGGGCUUGAAAUGUUGCUGCAUCCCGACCGAAAAGUCGGGAGCCUUCGAGGGUGCAACACAGGUGCUGCAUGGUUGUCGUCAGUUCGUGCCGUGAGGUGUUCCGUUAAGUCGGAAAACGAACGCAACCCCCAUUCUGCGUUAGGAGGAAGGAGGGGAUGACGUCAAAUCAGCACGGUCCUUUGAUGCCCUGGGCUACACACGUGCUACAAUGGGAAGGAACAAUGGGUUGCCAAGUCGUAAGACGGAGCCAAUCCCAGCAAAACUUCCCCCAGUUCAGAUUGAGGGCUGAAACUCGCCCUCAUGAAGUCGGAAUCGCUAGUAAUCGCGGAUCAGCCUCGCCGCGGUGAAUACGUUCUCGAGCUUUGUACUCACCGCCCGUCACGUCAAGGGAGCCGGUAGUAUCCGAAGACUUUUGAUUUAUUUAAGGGUUUAAGGUAAGAUCGGUGACAGGGACGAAGUCGUAACAAGGCAUGCGUAGCGGAAGCUGUGCAUGGAUCAUCUCCUU